UCCCAGUCCCAAUCUCAGAUGCCCUGAGCUCCUUCACUCUUCCAAACCACAUUAUGGGGAAUCUGAUGAUUCUUGCCAGGUGAUGUAAUAGCUCUGGUGAUGAUCAGAUAUCAUCCCGCCUCUUAAUGACAGAGCACCAUCUUCUGAAGCCCUUUAAAGAUACAGUCUAGCUCAUGCCUCUGAAGUGAGCAGAGAUGGAUAAAGAAGCCACCUCAUAGACACAAAGGAACUUCUCAAAGUUCCAGAAUUGUUUGAGAAGAGAACCUGCCGAUCCUCUCAGCCAUGUAAUCCUUCUUGGAACACUCCCUCAUCUUCACCCACGUAGACUUGCACACCUACCCUCCAGAUGUGGUGGGAGACGCCUUUAUGUAACAUGAAUCUGUAUGAUGAAUUCUUGCUCAUAUUGAAGACAUGAAAUUCCUAUGAAUAGGACAUGUACUUUGAGUUCAUUAUCCCUAAAAGCAAGUCAUGGAUAUGCUUAAGUUAUCUGAGUGCUUUCCCUGGAAGACCAGUGGAAUGCUUCGGCGGAUGUGAAGAUCCAAUUAGAUAAUUUAUGUGAAUGUGCUUAGCAAACCACAGAACACUAAACAAAUAUAGAAAUUUUUUCGAGAAGAUAAUGAGGUUCUCUCUGGGACCUAUUGUAAUAUUUUCCAGCUUUUCUUGCCAAGAAGUUCCUUCUAUCACACCUAAAUUCCGUCGAAUUUAUUUCCAAGCUUCAGCCAGCUUGGAAAUAGCCUUUCUGUUGGGACAUUUCCAAAUCCCAGGUUUAGAGGUUCUUCCAUCUGGCAGGUGUCAAAGAAGACAACAGGAACCAUGAGCAGAACCACUUGGAACUGCAAACUCUUUGGGCCAAGGAGAGACUUCUUCUCCAGGUCUGGUUUGGUUCGCAAAUUCCUGGCUGUCAUAGCAACCUGAAAAGCAAAGGAAGACUGUUUAGUGUCGUCUUUGACUGCAGCCUGGGCUCGGAAUGCGCUCAGGUUGGCCCAGUAAACAGUGUUCACCGGUAACCACUCUGUGUCUCUCCCUCUGGGCCCAGGGAUGGGUGAGGCAGGGAGCUCACCAGGCUCAAGUCAUCUGGCCGCACAGCUUCUCACCUAGUGUCACUCAGCUCCCCUCUGCUGCUCUGUCUCCCAGUGGCUCUGCCAGAUCUAACAUGGGGAGGGAAUUUCCAGAAGAGGCCUAUUGGGAGAUGGAGUCAACUCCACAGUGGAAGCAAAUGCCUGCCGCCCACAUGAAGAUGUGUGAAGAUGACUUGGGGAGGGGGAGCCGACAGCAUUUCCAUGGUAACCUCAAGCAUCCCUGUGAAGUCAUCAUUGUGCUCUUCUGACCUAUUCAAACCCUGGCAACCAGGGCUGUUUAUCUCUAGGGAUUGAGUUCAAGAUCUAAAAAUGUGAAAGACCUAAACUGAAAUGAAUAGGCACCUCACUUGCUAAGAAGUAGGUCUACAAAGACAUGUGAUGUCAUGUUCAUUAAUCGUUACAUUGAUUGUUACAAGAUUUUUACACAUUUGACAACAAUUUACAGGCGAGUUUUUUUCUCAUUGCAAGAAUUCCUGAUUAUGCACAGUGAUUGCCGAGAAAUCAUUGUUGGGCCAAAUUUCAAAAGUAAAAUUAUAAAAAAUA
rnacentral:lncRNA from 1 species